rnacentral:rRNA from 1 species
GAUGAACGCUGGCGGCGUGCCUAAUACAUGCAAGUCGAGCGAACGGACGAGAAGCUUGCUUCUCUGAUGUUAGCGGCGGACGGGUGAGUAACACGUGGAUAACCUACCUAUAAGACUGGGAUAACUUCGGGAAACCGGAGCUAAUACCGGAUAAUAUUUUGAACCGCAUGGUUCAAAAGUGAAAGACGGUCUUGCUGUCACUUAUAGAUGGAUCCGCGCUGCAUUAGCUAGUUGGUAAGGUAACGGCUUACCAAGGCAACGAUGCAUAGCCGACCUGAGAGAGUGAUCGGCCACACUGGAACUGAGACACGGUCCAGACUCCUACGGGAGGCAGCAGUAGGGAAUCUUCCGCAAUGGGCGAAAGCCUGACGGAGCAACGCCGCGUGAGUGAUGAGGGUCUUCGGAUCGUAAAACUCUGUUAUUAGGGAAGAACAUAUGUGUAAGUAACUGUGCACAUCUUGACGGUACCUAAUCAGAAAGCCACGGCUAACUACGUG